rnacentral:rRNA from 1 species
UACGUAGGGGGCAAGCGUUGUCCGGAAUCAUUGGGCGUAAAGAGCGCGUAGGCGGUCCGGUAAGUCCGCUCUGAAAGCCCGGGGCUCAACCCCGGGAGGCGGGCGGAUACUGUCGGGCUAGAGUCCGGAAGGGGCGAGUGGAAUUCCUGGUGUAGCGGUGAAAUGCGCAGAUAUCAGGAGGAACACCAAUGGCGAAGGCAGCUCGCUGGGACGUGACUGACGCUGAGACGCGAAAGCGUGGGGAGCAAACAGG